UUUAAGAGGGAUGAGAGUUUCAAGGGGCCGGGGUCGCUCACAUGGAAACAGCUGCUGCGUAUUUGCAAGGCCAGUGCUUAACAACUUGCUCUUUUUGGGAUACCGUGUGCACGUGCACUUAACACUGGAUUUGCCAUUGAGGAGGACAAAGUGACAAAAAUACAGAGAAGUAGGUGCGAAACUGGAGAGGAUUGCAAUGGAUUGUCUCAGGAGAGUGCAAAGCAAAAAGCAUAGGCAUGGUAGGUUGGAUUCUGUGGUUAAAAACUAUGAGAAAUAUUAUUUUUCGUAAGUGAAAUUAUUUGAACAA